GGCCAUAAUUCCACCCGGGUUUCUUUUCCAUCUCAAUCCUCCUCAUUUCUUGAUGUUGAAAAUCAUAAACAUAGUAGCAUCCAUCUCCUCUGCUCUCAAAGCAGAUUUCUCUGGCAUUUCUUGAAGCAGUCACAGGUACUAAAUCAUCAGUUACAGAAUCUAUAUGUAUAGUAUGUUGCUUGCUCCAAGCUUCCCCAUGCAAGCCUUUGCAGAUCCAUAUGUCCAUGACAAAAGGUUGAGCAUUAUGAGUGAUCAAUCCUAAAAAACCCCACAGCUCUACAAGCCUAUCACGCCUUUUGUAUGCGCUUGGAAGUGGGAUUGUGAAAAAUGUUUCACGGUCGAUAUCCAUAGACACAAUGUAUUCGCAGUUAUGAGUGUCAGGAACCCAAUGUAAAGCCCCAAUUGCUGAAACUGAUUCUUGUGCAAACUUUCUCACAAGUCCUAAAGAUGGACCAUCCACUCCUCUCCAUGAUUUUGUACCAACACUCAGUAUCUCACAGCCAACAUGUAAUCUCUUAUCAAUAAACAAAUGCACAACUUUGUAUUUUCCUUCAUGAUUGCUGUACAUAAAUCCAUAAGACUCCAGAUUUCUAGAAAUUGGAGCAACAGUACCAAGAGGAUAUCGAAUAAGCUUCCUGGUCAUAGGAUUCAUCACUACUAUGCCUUUGUUCUUCCCCAAUUGAACCAAAAUAAGCCCAUCACAUGUAGCAAGAAUAUUGCCAGAGCAAGUAAUGUUCAACUCCACAACUUUGAUCUUGGAAUUCUGAACCUCCAGAAAAUGCAAGUGACCUUGCUGAUAUUGUCUAGAUGAAUCAGUGGGAAAGAUUGAGAACUGCUCUAAACCAAGCCUCAAAUCGAUAGAGAGGUUAUAAGGGUUUGGAAACUGGGGUUUUGGAUCAAGACAGAUAAGGGUAGUCUCACAGAGCUGUAGGUGAGCAUCCGCAAAAGCAAAGCUGUUGAUUAAAUUGAACCACGUCUUGCACACACAACUUAAUCUGACAAGAGAUUUGAUUGGAAGCAGAACAAGAAUCUGAAAAACAAAAUCAGAAGAAAAAUAUUCUCCUUCACAAGCUCGAUACUUCACAACCCUUGAUGCUCUCCUCUCUUGUACCAUUCUCCAUAACCUUGAAUUUCUCCGUACAAUUUUGCUCCUGUUACCAUCACCUGGAAAGAGUCCCAUACUUUCUCUCAUAAGCUAGUAAGUAUUCUCCAGAGAGCGAGAGAUAGAAUCCAGGUCUACUGGUGAGAAGAGUCAGAACCCAGUGUAGACGACGGUGGAGAAAAGGGUUAGAGUACGCUAUAGAGACUGGCAGUUACU
rnacentral:misc_RNA from 1 species